UCCCUUGUGGCUUAGCUGGUAAAGAAUCCGCCUGCAAUGCGGGAGACCUGGGUUUGACCCCUGGAUUGGGAA
rnacentral:tRNA from 1 species